UGAUACACGAUAAAAGGUACUAUAUUUGUAUCCUUAACACCUAAGAUACAUAGUGGGUCUUAAGAGUAAGGAGUGUUAUGCUUUGAUGUGGUCUGUGACAUCCCCAUUUUCACGGCCUGAAAAGACCGACUUGUUUAUGAUUUGUUUUAUAAAAUCAGAGUAAUCUUUUAAAGAAAACAGUUGCGGAAUUUGUUCCCAAUACAAGAUAUGAUAAUAACUUAUCAAAACAUUUCUCAAAGAGAAUGUAUUUUCAUUUAUUAAUAAAACCUCGGGAUGUCAUGUUCCGAUAUAGACAUAUAAGCAUAAACAGAACUUACAUUCAAUUACACUAAUGAUUUAUAUCUCCUUUAAGUCUCUCUGUGAAAUAUGUCUUCGUAUUGAUACCUGUGAUACAAAGAAAACUGAGUGGGUCAUGCUUGGGAGCCUGGUGAGCAUAUAAGGUUUUCCUCCCACAAUAUUAUAUCAUAUAUUUAUAAAUAUAGAGCAUUCAAACUUGUACAAUUUCACCAUAUAAAGGCAAAUCUUAUCCCACCCCAUCGAUCCUCACAACAACAUGAUCUAAACUCUUGUAUCUAAAAUUUACCUCUUUACCUGAUCCCUACUCACGGAUCUAAAACUAUCCUCUUCACCCGAUCCAUACUCACAGAUCUAAAACUAACCUUUUCACCUGAUCCAUACUCACGGAUCUAAAACUACCUGAUCCAUACUCACGGAUCUAAUACUAACCUCCUGAUCUGAUCCAUACUCCCGGAUCAAUAAUUGUACCCAAUCCAUACUCCCGGAAUAGGGACAAUUAACUAUACCUUAAUCCUGAUCUGAUCCAUACUCCCGGAUCAAUAACUGUGCCUAAUCCAUACUCCCGGACUAGGGACAAUUAACUUAGUCUUAAUCCAUACUCCCGGACUAAUAACAAGGUUUUAUCUCUUUACCUGAUCCAUACUCCCGGAUCUAAAAUUAACCUCUUGGUCUAAUCCAUACUCGCUGAAUAACUAGAUCAACAACAACAACAUCGGGGCCUCUCAUCUGUUUAUCACACAUCAACUAUCUACCCAUGUUCUAUCCAACAUAUCAGUAGAUAAAAAUAUAUAUUUUUAUACAUAGUUUAAAACCUGUAUAGCGUUCUCAUUCAAUACCUAUUCCACAUAACAUAUGACNGGGACAAUUAACUAUACCUUAAUCCUAAUCUGAUCCAUACUCCCGGAAUGAGGACAAUUAACUUAGUCUUAGUCCAUACUCCCGGACUAAUAACAAGUUUUAUCUCUUUACCUGAUCCAUACUCCCGGAUCUAAAACUAACCUCUUGGUCCAAUCCAUACUCCGCUACUAACUAGAUCAACAACAACAACGUCGGGGCCUCUCAUCUGUUUAUCACACAUCAACUAUCUACCCAUGUUCUAUCCAACAUAUCAGUAGAUAAAAAUAUAUAUUUUUAUACAUAGUUUAAAACCUGUAUAGCGUUCUCAUUCAAUACCUAUUCCACAUAACAUAUGACGCGCACCCACAUAACACGUAUUUCAUAGAGAAUAAAUCAGAUCUAUGAGAUAGAAGAAAGUAAAUAUACAUUCACACACAUAACAACAGAAUUAUACACAUAACACGUAUUUCGUAUAAAAUACUUCAUAAUUAUGUGUUAGAAGAAAGUAACCACACACUCACUUGAUUAGAAGAUGAUCGGACAGCACUACGACUUGCAGAAGUAGUAUUCUUCGGUAGAUCUGGAAGAUCUCCACAAAAAUCGAACUUCUCGCGGGCAGAGCUUCGGCUCGGGAAUCGCACUUCUUGGGAUCUCGGGAGCGUAAAACUUCCUUCUUAACUUGGAUAUGAGAUCCGGGGUGUCGGGAUGGCUUCGGGGGUUUACACGCAGAGCUUCGGCACAAAAACGAGGAGAAAUGAGCAAAUAAGCCCGGAACCCUCGCAUCCUAUUUAUAGGAGGCUGAAGCCUCGCAGUACGCUGGGCGUACUGCCUUACGCGGGGCGUAAGCCUCCAAAAUCGUGACUGCAUGCGUCAUCCGAAGAACUCGAGUGUGAGGCGUGUCAUGCUUCGCGGUACGCGGGGCGUACGCCAGUACGCUGGGCGUACUUCGGAUAAGUCUGAUGACUCCCCUUCGGAUAAUGUCGGAUUUAGUAAUUAAAUUUAAAUAUUAAUUAUUUAAUAAACUUUGAAAAUUCAUAUCUUCUUCAUACGAACUCCUUUUUCGAUGUUCUUUAUAUCCACGCGUAGGUGAGACUACGCUCUACAACUUUCAUUUAGACUCCGUUGGCUAAUUUUGACUUUAUUUUUAUUAUUUAUUUUUAGUAGGCUGGGACAGGAAAACUCCCUUAUAAAAUCAUAACUUCUUUAUCCGACGUCUGUUUUCGCCUAUCUUUUCAUCGUUUCACUACAAUUAAUGAGAUCUUCGNUGUUUUCGCCUAUCUUUUUAUCGUUUUACUACAAUUAAUGAGAUCUUCGAUUCUCAUUUAGAUUGUUUCGGCUAAAAACCGCUCGGUCUCAAAUCGAGUAUUCGGGCUGCAUACCGCUAAGUCGAAACUUCGAAAAAUCAUAACUUCCUCAUACGAAGUCAGAUUUGGGCGUUCUUUUUUAUGUACGCUCAUGGUUUAACGAACUCUACGAAUUUCAUUUAGAUUGCUAAGGCUAAAUAUCGCUCUAAUGUAAAUUCACUUUUUACGUCGCGCUGUGUCGUGCUGGUUCUGUCGCGAAACUUCGACAGGUCAUAACUUCUUCGUUAUAACUCGGAUUUCGGUGUUCUUUAUAUGUACGGAAUCCUUGUAACAUAUACUGCAACUUAGUUAAGAUUAUUCAUUCUAAAUAAUCUUUCAUCAAAAAUUCAUUUUUGACGCCAAUCGUCUCUAAAUUGACUAGCCCUAAUCUACGGGCGUUACAAUUAUCUCCCCCUUAGGAUGAUUACGUCCCGGAAUCAUCAACGAAAAUAGAACUUCUAUAAUGAUUCCAUACGCUAUCUCUUUAUCCUAGGUAGUAACCGUAAAUUCUAUGUUUCAUUGAAAGAGUAUUUAACUCUAUGGAUUUCUUGAUCGCAGACGAUGCUCAAUCUUGCCUCUGCUUAUCGUACUAUGUUGUACUUUCAAUCGUAACCUUCAAGUUACCAAAUAAGUCCUUAUUGUGGACUCCUUCUUCUCAGGAUAAUUACUCUCAUUUAUCUAUUGUAACAAACCGAUAGGUCGUGCUCUAUCGACCUCGCAUCGCACGAUGCGACGCUUAGACUCGGUCUUUAAUGAAGUUAAAUUCCAGAAUGGAAUAUACCUUUCUUCAUACUCUAAUGUGAUAUAAUCACAUUUCAGCAUGUAGCAUUUCUACCUGCAAACUUCUUUUAACAACAAGCGCGACACUAUCAAUCGCAUUAACUUCAACCUUCUGAAUUAAGUCAGAUGUUACAUCUAACUUGGUCCUCUAGACCACGUAACAUACUCCUCGUAGUCGAACUCAAAUUUAAACAUGACCACUAGGGUCGGAACAAGAACCAUCUUACUAGUCAUUACCGAAACAAUGGUAAUGACAUACCAGAAUAAAAUGGAAUCAAUCACUAGCUUCUUGGUAACCUUGUGACUUUCCCUGAUCCAAGUGCGAGUCCUGUGCUUCCGGUAGUAUAUGCAUCUACUACCUUUCACACCUACUCAUACUUGUCCCAAGUAUUGUCCCGCAGUCGACCAAGUCACCAUACAAGAAAAUCACAUAAUCAAUCAACACAUCAGAUAGCAAAACUAGGGUUUAUAUUAUUUCCUUGAAACGGUUACACAAAAGUUCAAGUUCACCCUAUACUAUGCCUCUAAUAGGCUACACCACAUGUUACUUUUCAUAUCGCUACUUUAUAUCUUGAUCUUUGGAUAUAAAAUCCUCAUUCCUGAUUCCUUGCAUUGCCAUCUGCUUCAUCAAGGAUCAUGCGGAAUGCUUUUGGUUUUGGUGGUGCAUUUGGCCUUAUAGCCUCUUCUCUUCUUGGGCAGUUUUGCUUGAAGUGCCCUUCUUCGCCACACUUAAAGCAGACUUCUCUUUUGGUUGGGCAUUUGCUGGCGUAAUGACCAGUCUUCCCGCAUUUAAAGCAGGUCAUUUCUUUAGAGCAUUCACCAAUGUGCUUCCUUUUGCACUUGUCACACCAUUGUGCUCCUCCCUCGAGCUUCUUCGAAUCAUACUUCGAAAAUUUUCUCUUCUCAUUGGACCUUGAAGAUCCUUCCAUCUUUCUUUUCUCACCCACCUCGUUUCUCUCCAGACCCCUUUCCUUUAACUGGGUCUCCACAUUUUUAGUUGCUCGGACUGCUGUCUUCAAAGUAGUUGCCAUCUUGAUCGUUGGUCCAAAGUCGGCAGGCAGUCCAUUCGCGAACCUCUCAAUUUUUGAGAGUUCAGUUGGCACUAAGUAUGGAAAUAACUUCAUCUUUUCGGUAAAUGUAGUAGCAUAAUCAUCAAUGCUCAAUUUACCUUUCUUCAUGUUCUGGAAUUCAUUGUUCAGAUCAAUCAGAUCUAUCUCUGAGCAGUACUGCAUCUUUAACUGCUCCAGGAAUGAUUCCCAAGACAUCUUCAGGGCUUCCCCUCGAGGCAUCAUAUCUGCCAGUAACUUCCACCAGCUCAAGACUCCGGUCUUUAGUUGUCUAACUGCAAAGACAGUCUUCUGUUUGUUGCUACAGUCGCAACUCUCAAACACCAUCUCCAUUUCGGAGAUCCAGUCCAUAAUCUCAACAGGCUUUGGGCUUCCAGAAAGACUUGGCGGUUUGGCGCCCAAGAAAUUUUUAUACAUACGCCCAUCCCUGUUUCUUUCCCUCUCUGGGUCAUUCCUUUCUACUACUGGGGGUUCUGCUCGUCCAACCGUCCCACUGUAGUUACCUCCCUCCGAAUGCCCUCCAUUCGCUUCAGGCUCUUCCACUUGAAGUGACACUUCCUCACGAUUCUGUUGGAGUAAUCGCCUUGUCUCCUCCAUUUGGAGAUCCAACAUCAUCUGUAUCAUCGCUUGCACCCCAGCCAUCGUCAUUGGAUCUGGUGUUGCUGCUACAACAGGUGCUUGCUCAACCACAGGUGGUUGAUUCCUGUCUUCGUUCACAUUUCCAUCUCCAUUUCUGGUUCUUACCAUUUUUGAUCUACACACCAAAUAAGGUGAAUUCAGAUCCUCAAUCACGAUAGAAAAUUAAAUCAUCCUUAUUACUCCGAAACGUUUACAUGCUAGUUCUAAUAUCGUAGCCAUACGCUUAGAAUCCUAAACACAUAAGGUUUCCAGAUCCGGUCGGCAACAGACCAUAGAUCCGAACAAAUAAUAGCAUCAAUAUAGCUAUCACACAAAACAUUUAGCACAUAAAAGCAUUUUAGGCAUCAUUCCUAAAAUAAACUAGUGCUUGUGUCAAUUUAGGUGUACUACCUAACAUAUUUUAGACACACUCCUCACAAUCAUUACUUAGCAUUCUAAGUUUAAGUCUAGAAAUUUCCUACAAAUUCCUAGUUUGCUUAAACUAAUCCUCUAAUACCAACUGUGACAUCCCCAUUUUCAUGGCCAGAAAAGACCGAUUUGUUUAUGCUUUGUUUUAUAAAAUCAGAGUAAUAUCUUAAAGAAAACGGUUGCAGAAUUUGUUCCCAAUACAAGAUAUGAUAAUAACUUAUCAAAACAUUUCUCAAAGAGAAUGUAUUUUCAUUUAUUAAUAAAACCUCGGGAUGUCAUGUUCCGAUACAGACAUAUAAGCAUAAACAGAACUUACAUUCAAUUACACUAAUGAUUUAUAUCUCCUUUAAAUCUCUCUGUGAAAUAUGUCUUCGUAUUGAUACCUGUGAUACAAAGAAAACUGAGUGGGUGAGGAUUGGGAGCCUAGUGAGCAUAUAGGGUUUUCCUCCCAUAAUAUUAUAUCAUAUAUAUAUUUAUAAAUAUAGAGCAUUCAAACUUGUACAAUUUCACCAUAUAAAGGCAACUCUUAUCCCACCCCAUCGAUCCUCACAACGACACGAUCUAAACUCUUGU
rnacentral:lncRNA from 1 species